GCAAUGCCGCGUGCAGGAUGAAGGCCUUCNGGGUUGUAAACUGCUUUUGUACGGAACGAAAAGGUCUGCCCUAAUACGGUGGGCCCAUGACGGUACCGUAAGAAUAAGCACCGGCUAACUACGUGCCAGCAGCCGCGGUAAUACGUAGGGUGCGAGCGUUAAUCGGAAUUACUGGGCGUAAAGCGUGCGCAGGCGGUUAUAUAAGACAGAUGUGAAAUCCCCGGGCUCAACCUGGGACCUGCAUUUGUGACUGUAUAGCUAGAGUACGGUAGAGGGGGAUGGAAUUCCGCGUGUAGCAGUGAAAUGCGUAGAUAUGCGGAGGAACACCGAUGGCGAAGGCAAUCCCCUGGACCUGUACUGACGCUCAUGCACGAAAGCGUGGGGAGCAAACAGGAUUAGAUACCCUGGUAGUCCACGCCCUAAACGAUGUCAACUGGUUGUUGGGUCUUCACUGACUCAGUAACGAAGCUA
rnacentral:rRNA from 1 species